GGCCAGAUGGCGGAACUGGUAGACGCGUCAGACUUAAAAUCUGGUGGGCAGAAGUGCUCGUGCGGGUUCGACUCCCGUUCUGGCUA
rnacentral:tRNA from 1 species